UAAGGAAUAUUGGUCAAUGGACGCAAGUCUGAACCAGCCAUGCCGCGUGAAGGAUGAAGGUCCUCUGGAUUGUAAACUUCUUUUAUCUGGGACGAAAACGGGAUUUUUAUCUCAAUUGACGGUACCAGAGGAAUAAGCACCGGCUAACUCCGUGCCAGCAGCCGCGGUAAUACGGAGGGUGCGAGCGUUAUCCGGAUUUACUGGGUUUAAAGGGUGCGUAGGUGGGCUUAUAAGUCAGUGGUGAAAUCUCCGAGCUUAACUUGGAAACUGCCGUUGAUACUAUAGGUCUUGAAUUAUCUGGAGGUAAGCGGAAUAUGUCAUGUAGCGGUGAAAUGCUUAGAUAUGACAUAGAACACCAAUUGCGAAGGCAGCUUACUAUGCGGUGAUUGACACUGAGGCACGAAAGCGUGGGUAGCAAACA
rnacentral:rRNA from 1 species